UACGAAGGGGGCUAGCGUUGUUCGGAAUUACUGGGCGUAAAGCGCACGUCGGCGGAUUGUUACGUUAGGGGUGAAAUCCCGGGGCUCAACCCCGGAACUGCCUUUAAUACUGGCAAUCUCGAGUCCGAGAGAGGUGAGUGGAAUUCCGAGUGUAGAGGUGAAAUUCGUAGAUAUUCGGAGGAACACCAGUGGCGAAGGCGGCUCACUGGCUCGGUACUGACGCUGAGGUGCGAAAGCGUGGGGAGCAAACAGG
rnacentral:rRNA from 1 species